AUUGAACGCUGGCGGCAUGCCUAACACAUGCAAGUCGGACGAGUGGCGGACGGGUGAGUAAUGUCUGGGAAACUGCCCAGUGGAGGGGGAUAACUACUGGAAACGGUAGCUAAUACCGCAUACCAUCCGAGGUGCCCAUGUGGGAUUAGCUGGUUGGGGGGGUAACGGCUCACCUAGGCGACGAUCACUAGCGGGUCUGAGAGGAUGACCCGCCACACUGGAACUGAGACACGGCCCAGACUCCUACGGGAGGCAGCAGUGGGGAAUUUUGGACAAUGGGCGAAAGCCUGAUCCAGCCAUCCCGCGUGUGUGAUGAAGGCCUUCGGGUUGUAAAGCACUUUUGGUAGGAAAGCGGUACCUGCAGAAUAAGCACCGGCUAACUACGUGCCAGCAGCCGCGGUAAUUC
rnacentral:rRNA from 1 species